GGAGAGAUGGCCGAGUCCGGUUGAAGGCGGCUGCCUCGAAAGCAGUUGUGGGGGAAACUCCACCGGGGGUUCAAAUCCCUCUCUCUCCGUCA
rnacentral:tRNA from 1 species